UGUAGCGCAUUCUUCCAGUGCAUCCGCUGUGAGUCAUUUCGGCUUGAAGCAUGUGCCGAAGUAACUGACAGCGGAUGCUUGGAUGAAUGCGCUACA